rnacentral:rRNA from 1 species
AGUCCACAUCGACGGGGAGGUUUGGCACCUCGAUGUCGGCUCAUCACCUCCUGGGGCUGUAGUAGGUCCCAAGGGUUGGGCUGUUCGCCCAUUAAAGUGGUACGCGAGCUGGGUUCAGAACGUCGUGAGACAGUUCGGUCCCUAUCCGUCGCAGGCGUAGGAAAUUUGGGAAGACCUGUCCUUAGUACGAGAGGACCGGGAUGGACGUACCUCUGGUGUACCAGUUGUUCUGCCAAGGGCAUGGCUGGGUAGCUAUGUACGGAAUGGAUAAGCGCUGAAAGCAUCUAAGCGCGAAGCCAACUUCAAGAUAAGAUUUCCCACCG